AUUGAACGCUGGCGGCAUGCCUAACACAUGCAAGUCGGACGAGUGGCGGACGGGUGAGUAACGUCUCGGAAACUACCUGGUGGAGGGGGAUAACUACCGGAAACGGUAGCUAAUACCGCAUACUAUUAGAUCUGCCCAUAUGGGAUUAGCUUGUUGGUGGGGUAAAGGCUCACCAAGCCGACGAUCCCUAGCUGGUCUGAGAGGCUGACCAGCCACACUGGCAAUGAGACACGGCCCAGACUCCUACGGGAGGCAGCAGUGGGGAAUAUUGCACGAUGGGGGCAACCCUGAUGCCGCCAUGCCGCGUGUAUGAAGAAGGCCUUCGGGUUGUAAAGUACUUUCAGUGGGGAGGCGUUAACCGCAGAAGAAGCACCGGCUAACUCCGUGCCAGCAGCCGCGGUAAUUC
rnacentral:rRNA from 1 species